AGGCAGGACAGAAGAACAUCAACUUUAUUU
rnacentral:piRNA from 1 species